rnacentral:rRNA from 1 species
CAGUGCGGCAGCUACACAUGCAGUCGAGCGCGCCUUCGGGUGAGCGGCGGACGGGUUAGUAACGCGUGGGAACGUGCCCUUCUCUACGGAAUAGCCUCUGGAAACGGAGAGUAAUACCGUAUACGCCCUUUGGGGGAAAGAUUUAUCGGAGAAGGAUCGGCCCGCGUUAGAUUAGGUAGUUGGUGGGGUAAUGGCCUACCGAGCCUACGAUCUAUAGCUGGUUUUAGAGGAUGAUCAGCAACACUGGGACUGAGACACGGCCCAGACUCCUACGGGAGGCAGCAGUGGGGAAUCUUAGACAAUGGGGGCAACCCUGAUCUAGCCAUGCCGCGUGAGUGAUGAAGGCCUUAGGGUCGUAAAGCUCUUUCGCCUGUGAUGAUAAUGACAGUAGCAGGUAAAGAAACCCCGGCUAACUCCGUGCCAGCAGCCGCGGUAAUACGGAGGGGGUUAGCGUUGUUCGGAAUUACUGGGCGUAAAGCGCGCGUAGGCGGAUUAGAAAGUUGGGGGUGAAAUCCCGGGGCUCAACCCCGGAACUGCCUCCAAAACUGCUAGUCUAGAGUUCGAGAGAGGUGAGUGGAAUUCCGAGUGUAGAGGUGAAAUUCGUAGAUAUUCGGAGGAACACCAGUGGCGAAGGCGGCUCACUGGCUCGAUACUGACGCUGAGGUGCGAAAGUGUGGGGAGCAAACAGGAUUAGAUACCCUGGUAGUCCACACCGUAAACGAUGAAUGCCAGUCGUCGGAUAGUA